AGAGUUUGAUCCUGGCUCAGAUUGAACGCUGGCGGCAGGCCUAACACAUGCAAGUCGAGCGGUAGCACAGAGAGCUUGCUCUCGGGUGACGAGCGGCGGACGGGUGAGUAAUGUCUGGGAAGCUGCCUGAUGGAGGGGGAUAACUACUGGAAACCGGUAGCUAAUACCGCAUAAUGUCGCAAGACCAAAGUGGGGGACCUUCGGGCCUCAUGCCAUCAGAUGUGCCCAGAUGGGAUUAGCUAGUAGGUGGGGUAAUGGCUCACCUAGGCGACGAUCCCUAGCUGGUCUGAGAGGAUGACCAGCCACACUGGAACUGAGACACGGUCCAGACUCCUACGGGAGGCAACAGUGGGGAAUAUUGCACAAUGGGCGCAAGCCUGAUGCAGCCAUGCCGCGUGUGUGAAGAAGGCCUUCGGGUUGUAAAGCACUUUCAGCGGGGAGGAAGGCGGUGAGGUUAAUAACCUCAUCGAUUGACGUUACCCGCAGAAGAAGCACCGGCUAACUCCGUGCCAGCAGCCGCGGUAACACGGAGGGUGCAAGCGUUAAUCGGAAUUACUGGGCGUAAAGCGCACGCAGGCGGUCUGUCAAGUCGGAUGUGAAAUCCCCGGGCUCAACCUGGGAACUGCAUUCGAAACUGGCAGGCUAGAGUCUUGUAGAGGGGGGUAGAAUUCCAGGUGUAGCGGUGAAAUGCGUAGAGAUCUGGAGGAAUACCGGUGGCGAAGGCGGCCCCCUGGACAAAGACUGACGCUCAGGUGCGAAAGCGUGGGGAGCAAACAGGAUUAGAUACCCUGGUAGUCCACGCCGUAAACGAUGUCGAUUUGGAGGUUGUGCCCUUGAGGCGUGGCUUCCGGAGCUAACGCGUUAAAUCGACCGCCUGGGGAGUACGGCGCAAGGUUAAAACUCAAAUGAAUUGACCGGGGCCCCCACAAGCCGGGGGAGCAUGUGGGUUAAUUUCGAUGCACGCG
rnacentral:rRNA from 1 species